UACGUAGGUGGCAAGCGUUGUCCGGAUUUACUGGGCGUAAAGGGCGUGCAGGCGGUUUGUUAAGUUCAGGGUGAAAGCUCCCGGCUCAACUGGGAGAGGUCCUUGGAUACUGGCAGACUUGAGGAGGGUAGAGGAGAGUGGAAUUCCCAGUGUAGAGGUGAAAUUCGUAGAUAUUGGGAAGAACACCGGUGGCGAAGGCGGCGACCUGGUCCGAUACUGACGCUGAGGCGCGAAAGCGUGGGGAGCAAACAGG
rnacentral:rRNA from 1 species